rnacentral:misc_RNA from 1 species
AAGUCGUAACAAGGUUUACCUUCAUCCUGCUCAUGUAACCCGCGUAGUUCGCAAUCUCUGAUAAAUCAUAGCCCGGAAAGUUGUAGUGAUUCAGAGACCUCUGGCUACGUGCGAACAUUGGAACAGUUACAAUCGAGCGGUAGUUCUAUAGGCAAUGUUUCCCCAAGCAGUCAGUGUCGGAAAGUGUCAUUUAUUGUGCAAGGAUGGCGCUUCUACGAUUCCUGUAGACCGUACACUCGGGCGAGCUUUGCCAAAGGGUCCCCAUGCCCCCUAAUAACCCCACUAAGCUCAAUGUAAUACAUUGGGUAACAACUGUUAACAAUGGAUAUCUUGGUUCUC